CAUAUCAGAACCACUUACUAAAAAUUAGUUUUGACAACAAUAGGUCUGAGAUACCAUGUAUGGUCAGUAUACACAGGUGAUCAGGGUCUGGUAUUAAGAACUAAUAUAUAAAUGACAUAAAAGGAUUGAGGAGAAUCAGGUGCUUAUAUAUCCGGCAAAGAAUACAGUAACCA